rnacentral:misc_RNA from 1 species
UUUAAGCUUCCUCGUUUUAGUGUUGGUGGCAUUGGAGACUGGCUUACUUGCAUGCGGAAUAGGCAAAUGCUGGAAACAGGAUAUUAGACGGCCGAUGGAGAGCCAGGAACCUCGAGGGAUUAUUUUCGAAGCAGCAGAAAGAUGUCAUGCACGUCCGCAACCAAGGAGGCAUGUUUAUUACCAAGGAGAAGAUGCUAUAUGUGAACAUGCGCUACCGGUGCGCAGUAAUGAAAGUCUCGCAAGAACAAUUUGGUUGGGAGCCGUACUUCGACUUGCGUCUUUGGGAUGCGUGGGUAAAGCAAGGACCUCACCCUAAAUGCGUGCAACAGUUCGCGAAGCAUGCACCUAGAGGAAAGGUUAUUUAUGGGCCACUGUGUGACAAUAUCCUUCAUAUUAAGUGAUAUACAUUAAAGGUGUUGAGUCAUGAGGGCAACAAGGAACCUCAGCGAAAAUAAAGUUCAGCAUAGUAAAAUUCGA